rnacentral:rRNA from 1 species
ACUGACGCUAAUGCGUGAAAGCGUGGGGAGCAAACAGGAUUAGAUACCCUGGUAGUCCACGCCCUAAACGAUGUAUACUAGUUGUUGCUGUGCUAGUCACGGCAGUAAUGCACCUAACGGAUUAAGUAUACCGCCUGGGGAGUACGGUCGCAAGAUUAAAACUCAAAGGAAUAGACGGGGACCCGCACAAGCGGUGGAGCAUGUGGUUUAAUUCGAAGAUACGCGAAGAACCUUACCUGGGCUUGAUAUCCAACUAAUCUCUUAGAGAUAAGAGAG